GGCGGCGUGCCUAACACAUGCAAGUCGAACGGAGCUACCGCGCUGAUGAUGGAGAUGCUUGCAUUGACAGAAUCUUGUGGUAGCUUAGUGGCGGACGGGUGAGUAACGUGUGGAUAACCUGGUCCAUCCAGGGGGAUAGCAGCUGGAAACGGCUGGUAAUACCGCAUGAGCGCACACUACCGCAUGGUAGAGUGUGAAAAAGAAAUUAUCGGGAUGGAAUGGAUCCGCAUCUGAUUAGCCAGUUGGCGGGGUAGAAGCCCACCAAAGCGACGAUCAGUAGCCGGCCUGAGAGGGCGGACGGCCACAUUGGGACUGAGACACGGCCCAGACUCCUACGGGAGGCAGCAGUGGGGGAUAUUGCACAAUGGGGGGAACCCUGAUGCAGCGACGCCGCGUGGGUGAAGAAGUAUUUCGGUAUGUAAAGCCCUAUCAGCAGGGAAGAUAAUGACGGUACCUGAGUAAGAAGCCCCGGCUAACUACGUGCCAGCCGCCGC
rnacentral:rRNA from 1 species